rnacentral:rRNA from 1 species
UACGGAGGGGGCUAGCGUUGUUCGGAAUUACUGGGCGUAAAGCGCGCGUAGGCGGCUUUGUAAGUUAGAGGUGAAAGCCCGGAGCUUAACUCCGGAACUGCCUUUAAGACUGCAUCGCUAGAAUUGUGGAGAGGUAAGUGGAAUUCCGAGUGUAGAGGUGAAAUUCGUAGAUAUUCGGAAGAACACCAGUGGCGAAGGCGACUCACUGGACACAUAUUGACGCUGAGGUGCGAAAGCGUGGGGAGCAAACAGG